ACUCUCACAACUCACACAAAGCUAGGAAAUUCAAUUAAGGUAUCAUAGAAGAAGGUGAUCGUUCAAGUUAUUUUGGAAAGCUCUGAGUUAGUGCAGGAUUCUAAGGCCUCAAGUUGAAGUUCAUUGAGAAAAGGAAAACGUGAUUGUGAGAGACAUUAAUUAUAAUACAAGGACCGUUAGUGUUGAUUAGUGAUCUAGUUUAUUUUUGGAGUCCGAAGAGAAAGAUCUCUUUGAUAUGUAUUGAUGACGUUAUUGGAGUACUCUCUAGGUGACAUGUAUCUUUAGUGUUUGACCAGCUUAUGAUCAUUUGUGGGUUAGAGUCUUUUGUAGGAAUUUAUCUUUUAUUAUUUCAUAUUGAAAAAUUGUAAGAUAAUUAUGUGAAAUGAAAAUGUUUUAUAUUUGAAAA